rnacentral:rRNA from 3 species
UACGGAGGGUGCAAGCGUUGUCCGGAUUUAUUGGGUUUAAAGGGUGCGUAGGCGGCUUUAUAAGUCCGUGGUGAAAGCCAACAGCUCAACUGUUGAACUGCCAUGGAUACUGUAAGGCUUGAGUACAGACGAGGUAGGCGGAAUGGAUGGUGUAGCGGUGAAAUGCAUAGAUACCAUCCAGAACACCGAUUGCGUAGGCAGCUUACUAGGCUGUAACUGACGCUGAGGCACGAAAGCGUGGGGAGCGAACAGG